UAAAAAAAAAAAAUGCCAAUAUUGCGAUACAGAGAAAGGGAAAAAGGGAAAAAUCCUACCCUCUUCACAUCAGUCUUCUUAACUUUUUUUUCUCUAAAAAAAAACCCUAGCCGUACUACGAUAGAGGCGAUCUCUUCACAUCAAACUCCGCUAGGAGGAAAAAAAAAAAAAUUACUUGCGCCACACUGGAGAUUCGAUUGAUCAUCGCUAUCCCCUUUUGAGUUUUCCAGAUUUACGCAGUUCUCUACCAGAUACGAUGGUUUAGUAUUUUGCAAGAAGAGAUGCCGAAUCAUAUUGAAAGGUUUAGGUUAGCCUGACUUUCCUUUUGUCUCUCUCUUUUUUUUGGGUUACGUUUUUUUCAUUUGAUGUCUUUGGGUUUGAAUUAAUUUUUUCCCUGCACAAUAUAGUUAGAAUUGUUUUUGAAGUAUUUGGUUUCAAUUAAAUUUUUUUUCUUCAGUAAAUUGACCUGUAAAAGUAUUGUCUGUCUUAUUUUUCUUAAAGUUUGGAACUUCACUUUUUAAUUUUUGUUACUUGCCAAAACUUGCAAAUCAUCCAAUCCUAUUUCUUAAGAUAUGUGGAUCAGUUUUUGGGGUAUUUUACUAUUCAGUGUAGCUCAAUGAUUACAUUAUGUUGGUUUUGAAGGAUUUGAAUUUCUAUUUGUGAUGAUUAUGUAAUCAUUAAUUUCAGUUCUUAUUUCACAUCCUCAACGUUAUUUUUGUUAUUUGGAAUUGAAUUAAAAUCCGGACAUUUAUUCUCUUUCACUCAAUGUUUUGGCCUCAAGUUAUAAUCUUUAAUUUUCUUAUUUCCUAUUGGCUUUUCUUUUAUAUAUGGUUGUUAGAUCCAUUUCUUGGGUUCUUCGUUUAUCUCACUUUUCUUUUCUGAUUGUCUUUACGUUUUGUAAGAUGGAUGGUUUAAGAACUGAAUGUUUGAGGAGUAAAAUUAUUUUGUAAUUUUUAGUAAGUAAAUUUUUUUAUUUUUAAUGUUAAUUACUGAGUUUUUAAUGUAAAAUUUAUUGUUAUUUCCUUAUUGAUAUAUGUCUUUAAUUUACUAGAAUGCUUAUAAGUCUUUGUUUCUUUUAAUUUUUGUACUACUCAGACUAUUACACUCAAUUUAUUGGGAGGCUUUUUUAAAUGUUGUUGUUAGCUUUAUUUAUUUUGUUUACCUAUUUAUUUUUAUUGUGUGUAUCUUAGUGUUAGUGUACAUAGCCAAUCAAAAAAUAGAAAUAGGAGAAACAUCUGUUCAAAGACCUGAAAGAAUGCCGCUCCAAAUGCUUCAAAAACGUCAAAAAAGUACUAAGCAAAUUGCUACAAAGAAGAAAAAAAAAAUGAACUCUAUUGUAUAUACUACCUUACUCUACAAGUCUUUAUGUAUUUCAUAGUAUUGUUAAUUAUUAUUUUUUUUCCUUUAGAAGAGUAAACUCAAUGUACUGAAUAAAGCUGACAGAUUAGAACAGCGUUACUAUAAAAUGUAAUUAUAUUUCACAAUUUGGUAUAUUAGACACUGUGAUGGUCCCAAAACGGUUGAUUUCAAAGUGUAUAAGCUGAAUGAAGAAUGUAGACAACAGGAUUUGCUUUAUUAAAAUAAAUAGAUUUUCCCCUA